GUGGAAUGCACCCUCCAACACCCCAGAGAAACAAAGAAACAUAGACUACAAUUUCACUUUCAGAAGGACAAGACCCAAACUGCAGGGGACUAGAGAAGCCAAGAUUCCAGUGCCUUCCAGAACCCAGACACCCAGCCCCAACUCAGUCUUGUGCUUUCCUACCAGCUCUACUUUGUUCAUACACGCAGCUCAAAACCACCUCCCCCCACAACCUCUCUUGAUUCCUCCCAUGAUCGGAUGUGAGUGCUUCCUCCUACUUAAAAAAUACUGUAAACGUGGGGCUGGCCCCGUGGCCGAGUGGUUAAGUUCGCGCGCUCCGCUGCAGGCGGCCCAGUGUUUCGUUAGUUCGAAUCCUGGGCGCGGACAUGGCACUGCUCAUCGGACCACACUGAGGCAGCGUCCCACAUGCCACAACUAGAAGAACCCACAACGAAGAAUACACAACUAUGUACCGGGGGGCUUUGGGGAGAAAAAGGAAAAAAUAAAAUCUUUAAAAAAAAAAAAAAUAC
rnacentral:lncRNA from 1 species